CAUGAAUCUCUCUCUCUCUCACUCUCUCUCUCUCUCUCUAUAAAGACAUCUGAAUCGAACCUUUUCAUUUGUGAAUUGAUCAAGUAUUUUUAUUCUAUUUGAUUCUUAAUUGUUUUAUAUAUCUAUGUAUAAAAUAUGCGACUCUAUAUGUACAUCUAAAUUUACGUCUUUUGAAUUUUGGUGUUCUACUUCAAAAUUAGAAAACCUAUUUUAUUGAUUUUUAUUUAUUUAUGCCUGUAUUUUAGGAAAUUUAGUCAAUCUCCUCUUGUAUGAAUCUAUAGUUAUUGCUUUUGAUUCACAGAUAAGAGGAAUUGAAGCUAGGGUUUCAUAAACUCUUAGUCUGAUUACCACUGUUUAGAUUCAAAAUUAUAGCUGUAAAAUGGAAUUGAAUAAUCGAUGGGAUUAAAAACACAGUUCAAUUGUUAUUGAAAUUGGAAGUCUAUCAGAUAUUCUGGAUGGUUCUAGAACUUCCAUUCUGCUAAUGUAUCCCUUGUGCACUUGAUGCUAAAUUCCUAUUCUUCUAAUGUAUCCCAUUCUGCUUAUGUAUAUUACCCUAUUUUGUUUAUUUUAUAGGCUGCUAUUGUUCCAAUUGGUUUGCUGCUUGGUUCAACCUAAACUUCAUCUAUAUUCUUCCAUGGUCAUAGGUUGUGACACUUCAUGAAUUAAAUUCUCUGAUUUGUGGCACACAGAACACAAACUUUGGUUUUAUUGUAAGGGUCUUUGUUUGAGUGAGCUUUUUGAAUUUUUUAUUUUAUUUUUUAAAUUUUUUUCACAUAUGGUGAAAUAAAUGGGGAAAAGUUUCAUUAAUUUUGGAUGAUUUUCUCUUUUGGGGGGUGGAAAUAAUUUUUGAAAAUUCAAAAUUAUAUUUUGUGGUGUUUUUUAUUUAUUUAUCAAGCUACUCUGUUAAUAUUCUAAUAAGUCCCUUGUUUGGUUAUGGUAUAGAUGUAUUUGUCCCAAAAUGCAGGUUGCUGAAUUUGUUCAUAGCAGUGACAGAUUUUCUUGUUGGAAAUAAGCUCUCUGGCUAAUUUUGCGCUGUCAUAUUUUUGGUUAUCUUUACCUUUUGGCAGAUUUGGUACUCCGUUCCUAAGCCAGAAGCUCACAAGGAAACUCCCUUAAGUGAAUUUUUUAAUGUUGAAGUUGUGGCUCUUUCUAGUUAUGAAGAGAAAGAAGAGCAAUUUAAAGAGCAGGUACACUUGUGCAGAGUACCAGACUGAUGUAAAAUUAUGUCGCUUAUUAUUAUGAGUAAAGAAUAUAGAAUUAUAGAAGAACUCUGGCACACUAGACAAAAUCAUGUGUUUACCUGUUUUAUAGCUUUAUGUAAUACAAAAUUAUAGAAGUUCAAAAUUUUUAUUUUUAUAUUUUUUUGAAAUAAUCCCAUUUCAAAUCUUAUUUAUGUAUUUAUUUAUUUAUUUUUUGCAUUUCAGUACAUUUUUUUUAAAAAAUUUCUUGGAAAUUCAAAUUGAAUUAGUUCAUAUUUUCUAAAUACCUUAUUCUGCGGCAUUGAAUUCUCUUAAUUAUUUCUUUACUAUCCUUGUGAGAGGCUAAAAGACAAAAAAAGGGAGUGUGAAUAUCAAUUUACUACACAAUAUCGAACUCUUGUUGUGAAUUGAAUUGCCUAAAUCAUUUUUCUUAUCUUCUGCUUCUUUAUGCAAUUGACAUGAUAAGCUGAUGACAAAUCAAUUAUUGUACAAUCUGUAGCAUAACCAAGGACUCAGCAUCCGGAUUCUUCUGAUGUACAGGUAAAUCAUCUUGGAACACCAAAGAGCUAUUUACGAUGAUCAUAUCAUUCUUCCUUACCAUUGCAUCUAUAAGCCUUUGUUGGGCCAAUUUAGUGAAGAUAUGUAUGCUUGAACAUAAACAAUAGAUUAGAUCCUCGAUUGCUUUUGGGAAAGAUUUGAACCUGUCUUGGUCCUCAUGUUCCUCUUGGAAAUUAUGCUACAUUUAUCCUACAGUUUUACGAGUUUUCAAGGAACUCCGUUGCUUUGCUUGUAAAAUUUCUAUAUCUAAACGGUCCUACAUUGGUUUUGCUGUUACCUCAUGUGCACUUGAACUUGAAAGUCCUUUGCAAAAGUUUGAGUUGAUUCCUAGUGCAUCAUGAAGCUUGGUUUAACACUAUAGGUCUUUGAACAUGUUUACCUUUGGCCUAAGCACAACUUUAAGUAAAAAAUAAUAGGACAAAUGCUACUUAAUCAAGUAUAUGACUAAACCUUGAAGUACACAUGUCAAGUCAACGUUAAAAAUUUCAUGAGGUUUCAUUUAGCAGCAUUGUUAGAUUUGGUUCAACUUGGCUUUCUAGUACUACACUUAAAAA